CCUACGGGAGGCAGCAGUGAGGAAUAUUGGUCAAUGGACGCAAGUCUGAACCAGCCAUGCCGCGUGCGGGAAGACGGCCCUACGAGUUGUAAACUGCUUUUGUACGAGGGCAAGCGGAGAUUCGCGUACUUGUCUGAAAGUACCGUACGAAUAAGCAUCGGCUAACUCCGUGCCAGCAGCCGCGGUAAUACGGAGGAUUCAAGCGUUAUACGGAUUUAUUGGGUUUAAAGGGUGCGGAGGCGGGCGGAAAAGUUAGAGGUGAAAUCCCGGGGCUCAACCUCGGAAUUGCCUUUGAUACUGUUCGGCUAGAGAGUAGUAGCGGUAGGCGGAAUGUGUGGUGUAGCGGUGAAAUGCAUAGAGAUCAUGCAGAACACCGAUUGCGAAGGCAGCUUACCAGGCUACUACUGACGUUGAGGCACGAAAGCGUGGGUAGCAAACAGGAUUAGAUACCCCUGUAGUC
rnacentral:rRNA from 1 species